AGAAUCGAUGAGACGGUGAUCGAGAACGAUGGAAACGGUGAGCCUUGAUGUGGGGACUUGGGCCGAAGGGGAUUCAGAGUGGCCACGGUGAUCGUCUUGGGCUUUAAAUAAAGUGUUGGUUUCCGUUUAAUUUCCUUUAACUAUUAUUUAUUUUUGGGUUGUAAUAAGGCCAAUUUUAACUUUUCUUUUA